rnacentral:misc_RNA from 1 species
GUUGAGUGGUUGGAUGUGGGGGUUUGCUGGCCUCUUAGGGGGUUCAGCUCUCCUGAAAUGCAUUAGCAGAACAACCUGUUCAUUGGUGUGAUAACUAUCUACGCUUUUGAAUGUGAAGGGCAGUUCAGCUUUCUAACAGUCCUUGGACAAUUCAUCAUUAAUGUGACCUCAAAUCAGGUAGGACUACCCGCUGAACUUAA